UACGUAGGGUGCGAGCGUUGUCCGGAAUUAUUGGGCGUAAAGAGCGUGUAGGCGGCUCGGUAAGUCCGCUGUGAAAGUCCAGGGCUCAACCCUGGAAUGCCGGUGGAAACUGUCGAGCUAGAGUCCGGAAGAGGCGAGUGGAAUUCCUGGUGUAGCGGUGAAAUGCGCAGAUAUCAGGAGGAACACCAAUGGCGAAGGCAGCUCGCUGGGACGGUACUGACGCUGAGACGCGAAAGCGUGGGGAGCAAACAGG
rnacentral:rRNA from 1 species